GGAACUGAGCCCAAUCGCAUCGUCUCGACAAAGGAAACAUAAGAUGACAUGCAUAUAUAUCGACGCGCGCGGCACAGGCACGCCACACGGACACAGAAAUACAUACACGCAUAGAGCCGCGGCUGCCUCCUGCGUGCAGGAUCGAGCUCCGUCGAUCGAUCGGACUAGCGAGUUGCCAUGGCAGCAGCCAGUGCUCUUCUCAUGGCGGCUCUCGCGGUCUUCGCCACGGCCGCGGCGGCGGCGCUGGACACGUCGCCGGUGCCGUUCGAUGCCGGGUACGCGCCGCUCUUUGGGGGCGACAACCUCGUGCGGUCGGUGGACGGCCGGAGCGUCACGCUCAAGCUGGACCGAUACACCGGGUCUGGGUUCAUAUCCAAGUCGGCCUACCGCCAUGGCUUCUUCGGCGCUUCCAUUAAGCUGCCGGCCGACUACACCGCCGGCGUCGUCGUCGCCUUCUACCUGUCGAACUGGGACGAGUACCCCAAGAACCACGACGAGCUGGACUUCGAACUGCUGGGCAACCGGCGCGGCCACGGCUGGCGUGUCCAGACCAACAUGUACGGCAACGGCAGCACCGCCCGCGGCCGAGAGGAGCGUUACCAUCUCCCCGUCGAACCUACCGUCGCCGGCGUCCCCAUCCGCGAGGUGGUCGGCGUUCCCUCCAUGGGCGGCGACUUCCCCUCCAAGCCCAUGUCCGUCUACGCCACCAUCUGGGACGGCUCCGCCUGGGCCACCGAUGGCGGCAAGUACAAGGUCGACUACGCCUACGCGCCAUUCGCCGCCGAGUUCUCCGACCUCGUCCUGAGCGGCUGCGACGCCAGCAGCGUCGCCGACCCCGAGGGGUGCCAGGUCGACCUGCUCACGCACGACGUCGCCGUCAUGGCCCCUGCCAAGCGCGCCGCCAUGAGGGGGUUCCGCGAGCAGUACCUGACCUACACGGCUUGCCGCGACCGGGUGCGAUACAAGACCACGGUCUUCCCCGAGUGUGACGACCUCGCCGACGGCGACUCCAGCUUCCACCUCUGGGGGGAGUCCAAGAAGAGGCGCCGCCGGUCGUCGUCGCCGCUGCAGUACUCUUCCAGCAUGCAGUAGGUUAUGGGUUCCGAUCGAAUGAGUCCAGUCCAUCGAUGCAUGGCAUCCUCAAGAUAGUUUUCUCGGUCGAGGUUGGUGCAUCUGUCGGAUAUGUACACAGUACACAGGAGGAUUACAGAUAGGGAAAACGUAAAAAACGUAAUUUUAUCAAUAGUACAUACAGUAGUACGUCCACUUGCUUAUAUAGUUUAAAUUUUCCAAACCAUUUUCCGGCCGGAUUCCAUGAACAAACGCAAAAUCAUUUUGUGCGUUAACGUCAUGUACGGAUAGAUCCUACACCGGUCGUUUAUCACAUGAUUCGUCCUAGCCGUGGCCUACGAACCGGUAUUUCAGAUGUAUACUAUGUGGCGCGUUUCGUAUUGAUAUUAAUUCUAUUCCUUAUUCUGUAAGAGACCUGAAUCGUUUUCUUCUCGCUGGAGGCGAUACCCAAGGCGACUAGGGUUUAGCCGGAGGCGGCCGGCGUGUGCGCCAGUCUCUCCUUCCCAGGACGGCGUCGGAGGCGCUGCCGCUGGUCUCUCGUUCUCUGCUGCC
rnacentral:rRNA from 1 species